UGGGGGAUCGUCUAAUGGUAGGACGCGAGACUCUGGAUCUCGUUGUGAGGGUUCGAAUCCUUCUCCCCCAG
rnacentral:tRNA from 1 species